AAGGCAGCCUCAGAUGAUGAGAGUGGGUCAUCAGCUGCAGACAGGCAGGUGUGGUCGAGACAUUCCAGGGUUCCAGCUACUCCACCGGAACAGAAACAACGUUUACCGCGGAUAUAUGUAAACACGACCCGGCGACAGACCAACAAGUACACGUAAAUGACCAAACACCUUGUAAACUUGGACUGAAUAAGCAAUAAACCCCCUCAUGUGGGAUUAUCUUUUAACCCAGCACGCAGAGGAACUGGACUGAAAUUAAAGCAGCGGCUCAAAUGAAACUCUGCAGAUGUAACCACGACUGAACUGCAGAGAAAAAGAGGAACGUCUCCUAUUCUCGCUUCUCCUUUUUUAUAAAAAAAUUAAAGGCAUGGAGUUAAUGAGUAAGCGGUGGUGGAUUUCAGGGCAAUAACACCCGUCCAUUUGGCUGUCAGAGCAACAACCACCAGAUGCAAAAUCCCCCAUCAUGCAUCCUUUGGUUUGAAGGCAUAGACCUCUGCAUUAAAGGAGAGAAGACCGUUCACUGACACAACUGUGGAUGUCAGAAAAUCAGCGAGUUAGUGUAGAAACCGUUGGAAAUCCCCGGCUGGGGUGUCAUUGGGUGGAACUGGAACUAAGGUGCGACCACGCGGCCGCUCUCAGCAUGAAUCAUACAUGCAGAAAUCUCCAGAAACGGAUGUGCUCCCACCGUGAAUCCUAACAGACAUGAUGUGAACUUCUGAACCGAAACUCCCAAAAAGUUGCAGAGAAAAUUCAACUGGAAUGUCGUCUCAUUGGCGAGGGAAUGCCUGUGAUUUUUGGACAAACUCUUGUGCUGCUCUGAGCUCGUAGCAUAAGGAGGGAACAAUAAAAGGAAAUACCGGGGAGAUCAGGAAUAUCGCCUCCCCUUAUGAAACUGAUUUGACUUGGGAAGACAGUGCGAGGCCUUCCACAUGGCGGGGAAGGACUACAAUCAUCUCUUUAAACUGCUCAUCAUCGGAGACUCCAACGUGGGGAAAAGCAGCCUGCUGCUCCGCUUCGCAGACAACUCCUUCUCUGGCAGCUACAUCACCACCAUCGGGGUGGACUUCAAGAUCCGCAC